CAAACCAAACUAAAUCAAACCAAAACGCAUUAUGUUAUAACCUAAACUUCACUUAUCCCACAUCCAACCCAAAACUCAUACCUAAUAUGCUUUAAACUUACAAUUAUGAACGAUUUUCUAUUACUCACACUUAGGGUUUUAGUUUCAACCUUUUUAAGUUUCUCCUAGUAGUACCGCGCAUUCUUAUCAUCUUCUUUGCCAUGUAUGUCUCGCCUUUUCUACUCUAAUAUAUCCUCUCUUACUUUCUUUCUUUUUCAUAUUUUCAUUUUUAUAUAACUGUCC
rnacentral:lncRNA from 1 species